AUGUCCAGAACAAAAAGACAGGCUACCCCAGAUUCACCAGUGGUUCGACCACGUCGACAAGUCAUCCCACCAAGAUACUUAGAUGACUUCUAUGUUGAUUAUACUGUGCCACAUCAGCCACUUCAUUCUGAUGAUGAACAGUACACAAAGGGUGCCACUGGACCUGAACCAGGUAAAAGGCCUGCAUUUAAAGAGUUCCCACGUACUGGAAGCGGACCAGAACCAACUAAAGAUACAAGCACUGCAUCAAGUGAAAGAAGCUCAUUUGUGGAGACAUUUCAAGGUUUGCCGCAGCCACUGCCACAGCCAAAGCCCCGUACUCGGACUUCUCCAAGGCAAAUAAUUGAUACAGAUCAGAUAGUUCUUUCCUCAAGCCCAUAUACAGCAGCCACUGAGGGCAGGCCAGUUCUGCCUAGAGAUCAAGACGAUCUUCCUCAGCCCAUGAGGGCACUGCCUGUAGAUUCACGAGGAUACCCUCUGCAUUCUCACUCAGUCAGUCACAAAGAGAUUGAAUAUCUCACUGAUAACCUAGGAGAACUGAGACUACCAAGCUCUGCAAAUCGGCCAACUUCAAGUCAUCACUUUUCUCCUUAUGAACCAACUCAAGCCCAUGCUAAGCUAGCUCAUCAAGAAGAUGUUACACAUCCUCAACUCGGCAUUAGGCAUCUAGACAGACCCUGUGGUUACUACAACAUGGACCACAGAGGCCAUAACUAUCUGUCCACUGAUCAAAGAGAUCGCAGCCAAUCUUCCGCAGCUGUUCAGUUUAUGCCUCAGGACUACAGCCAAGAGACAGCAGCUACUUAUGGGACUUAUACAGAUCAUAGCCUAAACCGCAGAGCUGUCAGCUAUUUCCCUUCCACUGAACCACAAGGUCAUCAGCAACCUUAUCAUGCUUAUUCAGCCACAAGUCCAGUCUAUCAAGAUGAGAGACUUACUCCAAGGGAUACAUUAGCUCAUCAUGUACACUAUGAGAGACACUCAGACUACUAUGAUCAUCCAGCUCCUAUUCCUGCAGACAAACCAAGACUCUUGACCCCACGACAGUAUGCAGAUUACGCUCAGCCUGAGACAUAUCAGCCAUACCACCCAGUGCGUCCUCCUUCUCCUCCAUAUCGUCAUGUAGAGCCCUCCUAUAGAGGUCCUAUCCCCACCAUUCCUAAUUUUUGCAGUGAGGAUCCCAGAGAGUUUGCUCGAAUCAAAAUUGCACUGGAGAAUUUGCUACCUGUUGAGUCUACAGAACGUUUCAAGUACCAAAUACUGGUUGAUCAUUUGAAACAAGAGAAUGCCUUGCUCAUUGCAGACUCGUAUGUCAACAGCAGGUACCCAUACACCAACACUAUGAGGUCCCUAACUGCACUUUAUGGUCAACCACAUCAACUCGCGCUACAAAGAAUUGCAGAAUUGAUGGAUGGCCCAAAGAUCAAGAGUGGUGACAUUAAGUCUUUUAGACUGUUUGCCCUUAAAGUACGUGCAUUAGUUGGAAUGCUGGACCAACUUGGAGCUCAGGGAUGGCCAGAACUCAAAUGCGGGUCACACGUUUCACGUCUUCUUGCCAAACUGCCUCACGACCUUAAAGCAAAUUUCAGAAGGUUCGUUAACCCCAUUCAAAUACCAGUUCUGACACUGCUUGAACUCAGUGACUGGCUUGAAUAUGAGCUCAGAAUACGAGAGGAUGAGUCACAGUACGCUAGUCAUUCAAGCAGAGCCUACUCUCAGCCACAGAGAGAUCAGCAAAGAAACUCUAAGCCAGUGCAACGAUUUGCUACUGUCUUACAUGGCGGUGAACAGAGUAAACCGGCAAGUGCUACGACAAUCGAGAAGGAGAAACCGAAGCGGUACUGCCCCUUUUGCAACACUGUGCAGCAUUACUUCAAUCAGUGCACUAACUUCAAACUGCUGAAUCAAGAUCAAGUGGAGUCAUGGCUGAAGUCAAAUCACAAGUGCUUUAAGUGCGGCUGUAAUCAUCAGAUUUCACAAUGUACUCUUAAAGCCAAAUGCAAAAAAUGUGACGAGACAUUUAGAAAUACUGCACGACUUCAAUGCCAAAGUGAAACAUGA
ensembl:lncRNA